CCUACGGGUGGCAGCAGUGGGGAAUAUUGCACAAUGGGGGAAACCCUGAUGCAGCGACGCCGCGUGAGCGAUGAAGUAUUUCGGUAUGUAAAGCUCUAUCAGCAGGGAAGAAAAUGACGGUACCUGACUAAGAAGCCCCGGCUAACUCCGUGCCAGCAGCCGCGGUAACACGUAGGGGGCAAGCGUUAUCCGGAUUUACUGGGUGUAAAGGGAGCGUAGGCGGUCUUGCAAGCCAGAUGGGAUAGCCCGGGGCUCAACCCCGGGACUGCAGUUGGAACUGUAAGGCUAGAGUGUCGGAGAGGCAGGCGGAAGUCGUGGUGUAGCGGGGAAAUGCGUAGAUAUUAGGAGGAACACCCGUGGCGAAGGCGGCCUGCUGGACGAUGACUGACGAUGAGGCUCGAAAGCGUGGGGAGCAAACAGGAUUAGAUACCCGGGUAGUC
rnacentral:rRNA from 1 species